UACGGAGGGGGCUAGCGUUGUUCGGAAUUACUGGGCGUAAAGCGUGCGCAGGCGGUUCGUUAAGUCAGAUGUGAAAGCCCCGGGCUUAACCUGGGAAUGGCAUUUGGGACUGCAAGGCUUGAGUGCGGCAGAGGAGACUGGAAUUCCUGGUGUAGCAGUGAAAUGCGUAGAUAUCAGGAGGAAUACCGAUGGCGAAGGCAGGUCUCUGGGCUGACACUGACGCUCAUGCACGAAAGCGUGGGGAGCAAACAGG
rnacentral:rRNA from 1 species